UCUUUUUCCUACACCGUUAUUUUUCCAUGAAAAUAGACUCAACAAGCUUUAAUUCCAUAUAUCAUUCACCCUCUAAUUCAUUUUAUACUAUCUUGGGUGAUUUUUCAAAUUCACGUCACUGUGCUGCCUGAAUUCUGUUUCUUUGCAAAAUAUUAUCCUUUUAUGAUUUCCAUGCAUAAUUUAUCACCUAAUCUUUCAUAACAACAAACACCUUCAUCCUUAAUCAUUUUAAUAACCAUACAUCAUCAACUACUUACACAUCACUCAUUAUUCAUAUUAUACCAAAAGUAGCUAAGUUUCUAUACAUGCCAUACACAAAACAAAACGUCUAAUUAUACCGAGUUAUUUCUUUGAUAGUGUGAUCGGCCUCCGACGUUUCCUUCGAUCCCCGAGUGGCUAGAUAAGUACUAUAAGAAGAAGAAAAUAAAGAGAUUAAGCACUAGGCUUAGUAAGCUUACAAGCAAAUAAAUCACAACAUUCAACAUAAUGGAUAAUUAUGCAUAAUAUCAUCUAACAUCAUAAAUUUCUUUACUUCUCAAUUUCUAUCUUCUUCUUUAUUCCCUUACCUUCUUUCUUACCUGACCUUUCCGUUUUCAUAAAUAUAAUCUACUUUUCCUUUGCUGUUAAUUCACUGUAAUUUAACUCGUACCCUGACCCGUUGAACCACUCGGAAUACUAAGGAUACUAGGGUCGUUCCUGUCUAUCAAUAUCCUGCCAAUGCCAUGUCUUUAACAUGGACUUACAUGAAUUAUUCCUGUCUCCAAUGCCAUAUAUAAUAUGGACUUACAUGGCUCAAUCCUGUCUCCAAAGCCAUAUUUCUAAUAUGGACUUACAUGGCUCAUUUCUGUUCUGUCCUGUCAACCCUAAUAUCCUAACAUUCCUAGAGUUCAACCGGAGCUUUCUAACACUUUUCCUCUGUCACUUCACCUUAAAUUCGACUUUAAAUAUUUUCAUAACAUAAAUAUAUAAAUGCUGGAAAUUGACAAUAAUAAUGUAAAAUAAAAGAAUAUUGCAUUUAUUUACUGUAAACUUACCUUGAUACAAAAUGUGACUAAACUUUACAAUUUAGUCCUUUACUUUUUCUUUUCCCCGAUCUACUCCCGAAUUUCGUUCUUCUUGAUCUAUAAUAGCAAAUUUAACUUAUUUAAUAUUCAAAUUUAUUAAAACAGUCCUUGACCCAAACUUUUGCAAAAUUAUAUUUUUACCCCUAAACUUUCACAUAUUUGCACUUUUGCCCCAAGGCUCGUAAAUUAAACUUCAUCCUAUUUUCUUAUGUUUUAUGACAUGCUGAUCAUUUUUCCCUUCUAUGGCAAUAUCAAAAUCACACUCUAACAUAUACUUAUGAAUAUUGGUAUUUUUUUCCAAUUUAAGCCCUAUCAAUUCAAAACUUAUAUUUUAUUUUACAAAUCAAUCUUUUACUAACUUCUAACUUAAAAUUCAAUCAUUUUAACCUCUAGUUCAUCAAUUAAUUCAACAUAACUCAUGUCUAACAAUCUACUAACUUUCAAAAUAUCAACAUAAAUCAAGUAGUAUUAUCUCUAGGAUUCCAAAAACUCAAAAAUUAUAAGAAAAAGACUUAAUUUGACUUACCAAUUGAGCUUGGAACCUUAAAACCUUAAAUUUCCCUUUUUCUUUUUCUUUCUUUCUUUCUUUCUUUCCUUCCCUCUCUGCCCGUUUUGCUCUCUGUUUCUUUCUCUGUUUCGUCUCUUCUAUUCUGUUUCUUUUCUUUCUUUUUUUUUCUAUUCUUUCUUUUGUUUUAUGUAUAUAUAUAAUAUAAUAUAAUAUAUUAAUAAUAAUAUAAUAUAAAAACAUAAUCAUUACUAUAAUAUAAUAUUUUUUUAACACAUAAAAAUCUCAGAUUUUUAUACUUAUGCCGCCUCAACUUUGGAAAAAAGGCAUAAUUGCCUAUUUGGUCCUUUUAACUUUUCUUUAAACUUUUAUCCCUAUUGCAAUUUAAUCCUUUUUCAUAAUUAACUAUCGAAACAUUAAAAUUUCUUAACGAAACUUUAAUAUUAUCCUAUUGACACUCCGUAAAUAUUUAUAAAAAUAUUUACGGCUCAGUUUAUAAUAUCGAGGUCUCGAUACCUCGUUUUCGACCCAAUUUACCUAAUAAUUUCUUUUAAAUCACAAAAUUCACUAAUUCAAAAAUAUUUCUAACUUCUUCAUC
rnacentral:lncRNA from 1 species